rnacentral:lncRNA from 1 species
UUUUCUUUUAUGGGACUCAAAAGGUCUUUGCUUUAGACUAGUCCUAUUAAGUUGUAUUAGUUGAAUUUGUGUCAUCUGGUACGAAAAUUUACAUAGAAUGUUGCAUUUCCUAAUCUGGGUCUGAUGAGAUGUUGUUGGCCAACUAGAAUUUGUCAUAUACUCGUAUUCUUUGGUUGGAUUUCUGGCAAUGUAUGACAUGAUAGUUACUUGCAAUUGGGUAGUUGCCUUGUUGGAUCUUAUUAUAUAUAUACUUGUGCU